GACGAACGCUGGCGGCGUGCUUAACACAUGCAAGUCGAACGGAAAGGCCCUGCUUUUGUGGGGUGCUCGAGUGGCGAACGGGUGAGUAACACGUGAGUAACCUGCCCUUGACUUUGGGAUAACUUCAGGAAACUGGGGCUAAUACCGGAUAGGAGCUCCUGCUGCAUGGUGGGGGUUGGAAAGUUUCGGCGGUUGGGGAUGGACUCGCGGCUUAUCAGCUUGUUGGUUGGGUAGUGGCUUACCAAGGCUUUGACGGGUAGCCGGCCUGAGAGGGUGACCGGCCACAUUGGGACUGAGAGACGGCCCAGACUGCUACGGGAGGCAGCAGUGGGGAAUAUUGCACAAUGGGCGGAAGCCUGAUGCAGCAACGCCGCGUGCGGGAUGACGGCCUUCGGGUUGUAAACCGCUUUCGCCUGUGACGAAGCGUGAGUGACGGUAAUGGGUAAAGAAGCACCGGCUAACUACGUG
rnacentral:rRNA from 1 species